rnacentral:rRNA from 1 species
UACGUAGGGUGCAAGCGUUAAUCGGAAUUACUGGGCGUAAAGCGUGCGUAGGUGGUUUGUUAAGUCCGAUGUGAAAGCCCUGGGCUCAACCUGGGAGUGGCAUUGGAUACUGGCAGGCUAGAGUGCGGUAGAGGGUAGUGGAAUUCCCGGUGUAGCAGUGAAAUGCGUAGAUAUCGGGAGGAACAUCCGUGGCGAAGGCGACUACCUGGACCAGCACUGACACUGAGGCACGAAAGCGUGGGGAGCAAACAGG